rnacentral:misc_RNA from 1 species
UUUUCUAAUUUGUGACGUUUAUAUGUCAUUUUUUUACCUUAUUAAGAAUGCAGAUAAUGGCUUGGAAUUGCAUUUGGAAUUAGAUGCCUGAUUGAUUUGUCUACUGUAGCAAGGAAUGCUGUGUUUUACUUGUCUUCUGUAGCAACGAGUGUAAUGUUGAUACGCUCAGAGACACACUUCAGUUCACUUUUGAAAGGGUGGGAUUUCUGAUAGUUUGAAAUUACUUUUUUUGCACCUGCAGGUGGAAGGGGACAUAGUGGUCAUCAAGGU